GACAGAGGGUGCAAACGUUGUUCGGAAUUACUGGGCGUAAAGCGCGUGUAGGCGGCCCUGCAAGUCGGAUGUGAAAUCCCACGGCUCAAUCGUGGAAGUGCAUUCGAAACUGCAGGGCUAGAGUCCUGGAGAGGAAGGUGGAAUGCUUGGUGUAGAGGUGAAAUUCGUAGAUAUCAAGCGGAACACCGGUGGCGAAGGCGGCCUUCUGGACAGUGACUGACGCUGAGACGCGAAAGCGUGGGGAGCAAACAGG
rnacentral:rRNA from 1 species